rnacentral:rRNA from 1 species
GACGAACGCUGGCGGCGUGCUUAACACAUGCAAGUCGAACGGAAAGGCCCUUCGGGGUACUCGAGUGGCGAACGGGUGAGUAACACGUGGGUGAUCUGCCCCGCACUUUGGGAUAAGCCUGGGAAACUGGGUCUAAUACCGAAUAGGACCACGCGCUUCAUGGUGUGUGGUGGAAAGCUUUUGCGGUGUGGGAUGGGCCCGCGGCCUAUCAGCUUGUUGGGGGGGUAAUGGCCUACCAAGGCGACGACGGGUAGCCGGCCUGAGAGGGUGACCGGCCACACUGGGACUGAGAUACGGCCCAGACUCCUACGGGAGGCAGCAGUGGGGAAUAUUGCACAAUGGGCGCAAGCCUGAUGCAGCGACGCCGCGUGAGGGAUGACGGCCUUCGGGUUGUAAACCUCUUUCACCAGGGACGAAGCGUAAGUGACGGUACCUGGAGAAGAAGCACCGGCCAACUACGUG